UCUAAGAAGGCAUAAAACAGUAGAACUC
rnacentral:piRNA from 1 species